CAUGGGGGUGUAGGAAAUGAAUUCGAAUGGCCCAAGGAGUGUUUGAUCCAGAUUUACUUAGAUUUGUUAACUAUCCCCUAAUCAGAUUAAACCUAAUUAACUCUGAUUAAAUUUAAUUAGUAGAAAUGUUAAUUAAAAAAAUGAAAAUAGUAAAAGGGGAAUUAGGGUUUUAGUUGUGACCUUCACGUUUGUUUCAGAACUUCGCCCUCCCUCUCUCAAGCGACGGCGGUGGUACGGUGGAGAAAUCCGUCUUCCCCGACCAAACUCUUGGUCCCUCCGUCGUAUCUCUACCCCUAAUCUCCAUCUUAGUCUCUUAUUGUUCUGAGAUACAGGAGAUUAACGAUCUAGAAUACCAGAGGAUCGGCUUCAGCUAGCUCGGAUGCGAAUUAAACGCACAGAACGGAGAACGAGUUUCGAAGAUAGGUAACCAAGCUUCGCUCUUCUCCCUCUUCUUGUAAUUCUCUUCUGCUCGGUUAUGAAUCUUGUUCUGAAACGUUGUUGUUGGUGAUGAUGAGGUUGGAAUUUCGUUCCUGAAGAUUGAAGAUGUGAUGCUGAAUGCGAUUGAAGAAGAUGAUUCAAGAUGAGUCGAGAAUUGAAGAUUGAAGCGUCAAAGAGAGAAUUCAAGUUCUGACUAUCAUUCCGUUGAUUGAUUCUUUUCUUCUAUUCUUCUAAAGAAGACGGAUGGAAGGUUGAAUGGAGAAUCGAGGAAAGAGUUGAAGGUUGGUGGUGAAGAGGUGAAGAAGAUUGGAGGGUAUGAAGAGUGAAAGUUCGCAGAGAGAUUGAAGAGCAAAAAUGGUGGAGCAGAGAGUGAAGGUAGGUGAAUAUGUGUGAACAAUGGUGAAGUUGAAUGAAAGGGAUGAAAUGGUGGAGAGUGAAAACAGAGUGGUGAAGGUCAAAAAUGGCGGAGCCUUCUGAAUUGGUGGUGUUUCUGAUUUUAUAGAAGUGGAGGAGAUUGAAUCUGAGGAUGAGGUGAAUUGAAUGCACGUGGGCGAUUUUUCGGAUGUCGGGAUAUAAUUGAGGGGUCUAUUUUGAAUCAUGCAUAAAGAGGAGGCUUUGAAGGCUAAGAUGAUGAAGCUUGUAGGAGCAGUAGGAAAAAUAAUGAUUUUUGUGUAAUCCUUAUUGUGAGAUGGAUUGGAUGGCGGUGUUUCGAUAUUAGCAUGAAACCUUGGAAUUAUAGAACAUGUACUCUUUGUUUUCUCUUGCCCUUUUUCCUUGUAUUUUGUAGGUGGUAAUGAAAUGACACCUUUUGUAAUCAAAAUAGAGCUUGCACGACAUUCCUUGUUUCUAGCUUAUAUUUUUUUAUAUCUUAGGUGACUUAGCCCUUUGAUGAUACUUGAAUAGUGAAGAAUUAGAAUAUUGAAUAAUGGAUGUAGCUUGAUGUAUAAAUUUGAAUCAGUGAGCCCGCUUUCCAAAA